GCGCGGACAGAUGGUACGCUGGUAUUCCCUUCAAAAGCAUCAAUCUUGCCGUACACCAGGAGCACCGGAAGAGUUUAAAGAGCAAACCGUUGCGCCAAUUAAGGGAGGUUACAGUAACCGCAAGCAGUUGCAAGCGGUUUCGAUCGGCUGAAAGUUAGCUGAAAGUGGUCCAGAGAAUCAGGAGUAAUGGCCGAUCAUGCACAAAUAAUAACUUAUCACAAGGGGCGAUCUAUAAAUAGGUCAAUAACGCCCUAAAAAGGGGUCUUUUUCCCAUGUACAAAAGACCGCCCUUAUUUUCCUCACAAUUUUCUGCAUUUUCUAGGAGUAGUCUACUUGUAAUUUUCUCUUUCCCGCAUUUACUGUUCUUCCUAGGAGUAGUUUUAAGUAGAUCGACCGAGUCUGCAUGCCAUCCAGCACACUCGACCCCUGUACUUCUUAUCAGUGAAUAUAAAGGCAUUCGGCUCUUCAAGCCGAUCAAUUCCUGUGUUCUUUAGCCAUUCGGCUCUUUGGCCGACUUCAGUUUUUGCUUGGUCUGUACAUUCGGCUCUUCCAGCCGAACCGAAUUUACUGUAGAGGCUUCGAACCCGGCUGAUCCGAUCCCUCAUCAGCCGAAUCGCUUGAUCAAUCGAAGGGCGCAAACUUCGAGGGUCAGUAUCAUAAACCAUUUCCAUCCCGACACGCUCCCCGAGAGGAUCGUCGACAAGGACGAGGGUUCGGGAAAUCGGCUACCAACAGAUAUAUAAAGCAGCAACACAGGAUGAUAUGGUUCUAAAGUGAUUUAUAGAAUGAGGAUAUAUAUAAAUGUGGAGUUGUGGUAAUUAAGGUUGGAGAAGAAAGAGGGAUAGUAGACAUGGCUCUGAUACCAUGAUAACAUGUGAAGAAUAGAAUAUUGAACUUAAAUGUCGUGCUAUCAUUCAAAAGAAAAUUGUCUCUUAUAUACAUGAAGACGUAAAAAAAGGAAAAGAAAACGGAAAAGAAUAAAAGGUAAUUAUGAUACAUAAUUAGGGACCAUAUAAAGUAAGUAUUUGAAUAUUUGCCUUAAUACUCAUCACCAAUGCUUCUUUGCUAUUGUUGCCAUAUGGUUUGUCCACAUUGGCGGAUUAUGAUUAAACCCGAUCCACAUAAGAUAUGGAUCAUGAUUUAUCCUAAUAAGUUUAGGAUA
rnacentral:lncRNA from 1 species